GACGAACGCUGGCGGCGUGCUUAACACAUGCAAGUCGAACGGAAAGGCCCUGCUUUUGUGGGGUGCUCGAGUGGCGAACGGGUGAGUAACACGUGAGUAACCUGCCCUUGACUUUGGGAUAACUUCAGGAAACUGGGGCUAAUACCGGAUAGGAGCCCCUGCUGCAUGGUGGGGGUUGGAAAGUUUCGGCGGUUGGGGAUGGACUCGCGGCUUAUCAGCUUGUUGGUGGGGUAGUUGCUUACCAAGGCUUUGACGGGUAGCCGGCCUGAGAGGGUGACCGGCCACAUGGGGACUGAGAUACGGCCCAGACUCCUACGGGAGGCAGCAGGGGGGAAUAUUGCACAAUGGGCGGAAGCCUGAUACAGCAACGCCGCGUGCGGGAUGACGGCCUUCGGGUUGUAAACCGCUUUCGCCUGUGACGAAGCGUGAGUGACGGUAAUGGGUAAAGAAGCACCGGCUAACUACGUG
rnacentral:rRNA from 1 species